GACGAACGCUGGCGGCGUGCCUAAUACAUGCAAGUUGAGCGAUGAAGAUUGGUGCUUGCACCAAUUUGAAGAGCAGCGAACGGGUGAGUAACGCGUGGGGAAUCUGCCUUUGAGCGGGGGACAACAUUUGGAAACGAAUGCUAAUACCGCAUAACAACUUUAAACAUAAGUUUUAAGUUUGAAAGAUGCAAUUGCAUCACUCAAAGAUGAUCCCGCGUUGUAUUAGCUAGUUGGUGAGGUAAAGGCUCAACAAGGCGAUGAUACAUAGCCGACCCGAGAGGGUGAUCGGCCACCUCGGGACUGAGACACGGCCCCAACUCCUACGGGAGGCAGCCGUAGGGAAUCUUCGGCAAUGGACGAAAGUCUGACCGGGCCACGCCGCGGGAGUGAAGGAGGUUCUCGGAUCGUAAAAAUUUGUUGGUAGAGAAGAACGUUGGUGAGAGUGGAAAGCUCAUCAAGUGACGGUAACUACCCAGAAAGGGACGGCUAACUACGUG
rnacentral:rRNA from 1 species